rnacentral:tRNA from 1 species
UAUGUGGUGGUGUAAAGUGCACGAAAAGUUUUGAUCUUUUAUGUGGUGGUGUAAUUCCAUCCCAUGUAG